rnacentral:lncRNA from 1 species
CCUCAUCCAAAUUGUUGAUAAAAUAAACAAUAAAAUUCAACAGAAUAGUAUCAACAACAGAAUUCUAGAAUUAUGGAGUCUUCUCAGUGGAUUAUGGUACGACAGCAACUUAAUUUCAGGAUGGAAGAAGAGUGCCUCUCUUUUUUUAAGUGGGACCAAAUGAGUCACUAACUUACCUGGGGAUGUCUACGUUAGAAAAACAGAGCAAGUCAAAACCCCCCAGGAAGAUGAAUGGUGAGGAAGAUCAAUGAAUGGCAACUGUAUGUCCAGCCCAGGUAAAACAGUGAGUUCCAAUCUCAAAACAACAGCCACCAAAAAGAUCCAACUCCAGAAAAGGUUGAAAGAAAAAAAAAAAAAAAAAACAAGCAAAGGAAGAAUAGGAGAAUCACAAGACAUCAAAGUGUCAAGGGAUUUCAGAAGUCAGUCAGCUAGUGCAACCUGUGUCUGAAUAGGAAUCCUUCUUCAAUAUAACUGUAGACUUGAAAAUUAAAGACAAACAAAAGCAGCAGAUGAUAUGAGAGAAUGAAAAAGAAUUUGUAAAGAUCUAUCUAGCAAAAUCCUCAACUGAUAACUACUUUAUGCAGUACCUAGAAUUAGCAGCAGUCAGAAUAUCUCAGCAGUGAACACAAUUAAAUUGCAGCCCACAACUCAAUGACAUCACUAGACUAGCAGAUUAUAUCAGUGAUUCUGCAAAGACUUACAGAACUGGGUUGUAAUCCUAGGUUUAAAUUGCCCAACCUAUGCUUAUUCCCCAUGUAUGUUCUCUCCCAUGAACAUUAACUCUCCUACUGGUGGUUUGAGACUCUAUGGAAGAGUGCACUCAUUUGUAUGGAGAGGAAGGGUUUUUCCUUGUUAUUUAUCCUGUUAUGCUAUUGAUUGAAUGUCUUUUUCUUUGAACUAAUAUGUCUUCUUGAGUGUUUGGUAAAAUAAAUAUAAACAUGG